rnacentral:rRNA from 1 species
AUUGAACGCUGGCGGCAGGCUUAACACAUGCAAGUCGAGCGGAGCGAGGGUGCUUGCACCUUAGCUUAGCGGCGGACGGGUGAGUAAUGCUUAGGAAUCUGCCUAUUAGUGGGGGACAACAUUCCGAAAGGAAUGCUAAUACCGCAUACGCCCUACGGGGGAAAGCAGGGGAUCUUCGGCCCUUGCGCUAAUAGAUGAGCCUAAGUCGGAUUAGCUAGUUGGUGGGGUAGAGGCCUACCAAGGCGACGAUCUGUAGCGGGUCUGAGAGGAUGAUCCGCCACACUGGGACUGAGACACGGCCCAGACUCCUACGGGAGGCAGCAGUGGGGAAUAUUGGACAAUGGGCGGAAGCCUGAUCCAGCCAUGCCGCGUGUGUGAAGAAGGCCUUUUGGUUGUAAAGCACUUUAAGCGAGGAGGAGGCUACUUAGAUUAAUACUCUGGGAUAGUGGACGUUACUCGCAGAAUAAGCACCGGCUAACUCUGUGCCAGCAGCCGCAGUAA